GCCAGACUCCUACGGGAGGCAGCAGUGAGGAAUAUUGGUCAAUGGUCGGGAGACUGAACCAGCCAAGCCGCGUGAGGGAGGAAGGUACAGAGUAUCGUAAACCUCUUUUGUCAGGGAACAAAGACUGGGACGCGUCCCCGGAUGAGUGUACCUGAAGAAAAAGCAUCGGCUAACUCCGUGCCAGCAGCCGCGGUAAUACGGAGGAUGCGAGCGUUAUCCGGAUUUAUUGGGUUUAAAGGGUGCGCAGGCGGCGUUGUAAGGACGGCGCUAAAGGCCGGGGCCCCACCCCGGGCCCGCCGUUGAAACUGGCAGUCUCGAGUUGGAGAGAAGUAUGCGGAAUGCGCGGUGUAGCGGUGAAAUGCAUAGAUAUCGCGCAGAACUCCGAUUGCGAAGGCAGCAUGCCGGCUCCACACUGACGCUGAGGCACGAAAGCGUGGGUAUCGAACAGGAUUAGAUACCCCAGUA
rnacentral:rRNA from 1 species